CAAUAGCGUAUAUUAAAGUUGUUGCAGUUAAAAAGCUCGUAGUUGGAUCUGUGGCGUACGGUGGGCUCCGGGCACUUGUUGUCUGAGUAGCUUGCCGUUGCCAUCCUUGGGUGGAACCUGUGUGGCAUUAGGUUGUCGUGCAGGGGAUGCCCAUCGUUUACUGUGAAAAAAUUAGAGUGUUCAAAGCAGGCUUAUGCCGUUGAAUAUAUUAGCAUGGAAUAAUGAGAUAGGACUUUUUCGCUAUUUUGUUGGUUUGCGCGAAGAGGUAAUGAUUAAUAGGGACAGUUGGGGGUAUUCGUAUUCCAUUGUCAGAGGUGAAAUUCUUGGAUUUUUGGAAGACGAACUACUGCGAAAGCAUUUACCAAGGAUGUUUNCAUUA
rnacentral:rRNA from 1 species